GAUGAACGCUGGCGGCGUGCCUAAUACAUGCAAGUCGAGCGAACAGAUGAGGAGCUUGCUCCUCUGACGUUAGCGGCGGACGGGUGAGUAACACGUGGAUAACCUACCUAUAAGACUGGGAUAACUUCGGGAAACCGGAGCUAAUACCGGAUAAUAUAUUGAACCGCAUGGUUCAAUAGUGAAAGACGGUUUUGCUGUCACUUAUAGAUGGAUCCGCGCCGCAUUAGCUAGUUGGUAAGGUAACGGCUUACCAAGGCAACGCUGCGUAGCCGACCUGAGAGGGUGAUCGGCCACACUGGAACUGAGACACGGUCCAGACUCCUACGGGAGGCAGCAGUAGGGAAUCUUCCGCAAUGGGCGAAAGCCUGACGGAGCAACGCCGCGUGAGUGAUGAAGGUCUUCGGAUCGUAAAACUCUGUUAUUAGGGAAGAACAAAUGUGUAAGUAACUAUGCACGUCUUGACGGUACCUAAGCAGAAAGCCACGGCUAACUACGU
rnacentral:rRNA from 1 species